rnacentral:misc_RNA from 1 species
UCUUCCGUCUGGGCAUGCGCACUUCAUACUGUAAUGAACCAGAUUGCAAUAUGGCGAACAGACAAUGUCAAUCGGAAUCCAACGACGGUGGUGGCCUUCAGACACUUCAAGGUCGCAAAUCUCUCGAGGAUAAUGAAUUUAGCGAAUCUGGUACAAAGCGAAGAACUCGUUCUGGUAAGAUGCAACAAGAGAGCCGAUUGAAAAAGCAACGUAAGUCCGACGAAGACGAAACCAGUUACAGCAUUCAACAACAUGACGAAGAAGAAGAAGAAGAAGAAGCAGAAGCAGAAGAUGGUGGUGGUGGUGAUAGCAGUGGCGGCGGAGACAACAAAAACUCCGAUCCAUCGACACAAGGAGAUGCUUCGGCAUCCGGCGAACCCGAAUUAACUACGGAAGAGUUGAUUGCACGUGCCAAACGAGAAUAUAAUAAGGAGAGGAAAAUUAUUAUCCGGAAUGUUCCGCCUGUUACAUACGAGGAAGUAAAAGAGUUCAUUGGUGGACAUAGCAUUUCCAACAUUGUAAUCAGCAAGAAAUCUCGUCAUGCUAUUGUUACUCUUAUGAAUGGUGAAGAUGCUGAAGAGAUUGUGGAACAGCUGAGUGGUAAACAACUACUUGACACUGAUGUUACUGUUAGUUUGCACCCUAGUGAUAAAAUGUUGUGUCUUACGAAUCUCCCUGAAGAUUGUUUGGAAAUGGAAGUUCAUAAGUUACUGCUCACAUAUGGACCAAUGGAAAAAUUCUUUCUGAUGCGUUGUGAAGAAACUGGGGAAAGCAAAAAUUAUGCUAUAUUUGAAUAUUGCCACAAUAAGGAAAAGUCCACUUGUAUUAAAGAGGGUUUGAACUGUCAGAAAUACAAGAAUAAUCUUCUGGCAUGUGAUUUCAUUGAGGAAAAUUUGGUGGCUUCUUAUGACAAGUUGAACUCAAAAUGUCUUCUUAUUGAUGGUUUACCAAAAAACUUCAAGGAUACAGCUAAGUUAAAGGAUAUGUUCUCUACAAACCAGGCUCCCAUUUAUUGCCAGAUUGUUAUGAAAGAGAAUGAAUCUCAAGAGUGUGCUAUCGUUGAAUAUGCAACUGCAGAAGCUGCCGAGGCUACAUGGAAAUGCAUGAGAGAUACAGAAGUUGAGACCAAGAAAGUUGCAGUGUCUUUCUGCAUUCCAGGUUCAUCUGCAGUGUCCAUUUAUAACAAGAUUGUUCAGCAGAAGGAGAAGGUGGCCUCCCCAUUUCAAGCUGGAGCAGUAUUGAACAGCAUCAAAUCGGGUUUGUUGCCUGAUCCGGUAUUUCCAAACCCUUCAAUGAUGAGCAACCCUCUAGUCAAAGGCUUGGCUAAUCAGAAUCCAAAAUUGCUUGAGCAAUUUCACCAAGCUCUUCAGCUACUUCAGAAAACCUACAUACAUCAGACCAUCAUGAGAAAUGCCAAACCAGUUACAGGUCUUCUCGGCCCUGGUCCCAAUGUUUCCUUCAAUCCACUGAUGAACUCAAACAUGCAGCUUGGAUUGAUCAUUCUGCUUGCUCUCCAGAUGCAAGGACAAAGACAACAAUUAUUCACUGGACCCCUGGCCAACCAACUCAAUAUGCUCACUUCAGUUGGAGAACAGUCCAACUUUCAAGCUGUCCUCAAAGGACAGAAGCCUUCACUCUUGGGCGACCCUAUGACUGCUCAAGCUAACAUCCUCGUUCAGAAUUUAAUGUCUCAAAUGAACAAAGAACCAUCAUCAGAUGACAAAAAAGCAAGUGCUGCCAAAAGACAAAACCAAGAUGUGAAUCCUCUACCUACUGGUUUCAAUGAAGGAAAUGCCGCUUUGCCAAAACCUGUUAAGGUACCAUUUACUCAGACUCCAGUUUCUGAUGUUCAGAAAAUUCAAAACUUGAACAUCCAACAAUUGAUGGCACUUGGUCAGUUAAUGAGCACAAUGCAGAACAGCAAUAAUCUGCAAGGGUUGGCAGCAAACCUGAAUCAAGGAAGUGACAAGAAUACUUCCCAAACUGGUGCUUUCAUCUCAAACCAACAGCAGAAGAGCAACUGGGGUGGCUCACCAAGCAUGAAUAUUCCAUCACUCGCCAAUGCUAUUGGCAAGCCUGGUCUCCUUCCUAGCCCUAAUCAAAAAGCAGGUAGUUCUCCGGGCUUUGGAAACUUUAAUCAAAACAUGGUAGCAGCUGCUAACUUUAUGCGUAAUUUACAAGUUCUAGCUGCAGCUCAGCAGAUGGCCUCUAACAAGGGCAACACCAACUCCAAUCAGAGAACCACGCCUGUCAGUAAAGACAAGACUGCUAUGAUAGGAGCAGGUUCAUUGCUUGGAAGCCCUCCAGUAGUGAGUAAGUCCAAUUCCAGCAGUUCUUUCUCAGCUGGUAGAUCUGGAUCUCUUAACAGUUCUUACACCUCUGACAAUAGGAGCUACAGUGAUACAACUUCUCAGAGACUGAGCAGGGGUACAUACAGUUAUGAUACAUCCAAGAGAAGCAGCCUGUUGAAUGAACCAGAAGCAAGUCAAUCAAAUCAGUCAUCUGGAAGUUACGUAUACGACAGAAUGUCUUCUGGUUACUCAACGAGCCGUGGAACUUCAAGUUACAAUAGCCAGCCUCGAACUGGACAGUAUAGUUCAAGUUACAACUAUCAGACUGGAAACAAUGUUGGUUCUAGCAGUAGUUUGGUUCCAUCCACUAGCCUUGGUACUGGAACCACCAGUGCCACCACUGAUUACUCCAGCACUAUAUAUAACAACCAAUAUGGAACCACUAGCAAUGACCAAUAUUAUGACAACUAUAGUAAUUACUAUGACAAUCAGACUUACCAUUCUAACUAUUAUGACCAAAAUGAAGGGGAUGACAGUGAUGUUUAUAAUUCUGCUAAAAGCCAGGCAACUACUGACUAUUAUAACAAAGACUUGGCAAACAGCUACACACACUCUGGUUAUUCUGAUAACUAUACUGGAAGCAACGCAACUGCAAGCACUGGUCAAUAUGAAGGGAUAUAUAGUAAUUAUGGGAACAACACUGAUUCCAGCACUGGUUACUGGGGCUCAAGCACUAACACAUAUGGUACAAGUUCCUACAGUAAAGGAGCAUAUACAAAUGAUACUACUAGCCCCAGUUAUCAGUCAUCUUACUCCAACUACACCAGUCCAACACUGAGCAGCACCUAUGGAAGCACUUCAAACUAUGGCACCUCCUCUUAUUCCAGUCAUUAUGGUACUUCCACUAGCACCACUUCUCUGACAUCUCCUAUUGGUCAGAAACGAAGCUAUAGUCAUUUGUUGCCACCACCUGAAGCCAGUCCAGAAGGUGCUUAUGUCGGACAACACUCUCAAGGAAUCGGUGGUCAUUAUGCAGACUCCUAUGGGAAGAGAAAGCGUUAUGACACUAGUGUCACUGCAAAAGGGAGCAGCUACUAUUGACAUUGUUUUUUAACUUACCACAAUUAUUUCAAUGUCUUGACACUUGGGUGUUUUUUGGUUGGUUUUUUUUUUUUUUUAAUUUUUUUUUUUACCCUUCACCAUGUUUGAUCAUCUCUCUCUCUCUCUCUCUCUCACCUGUCAAAGACCACUUGCAAAGCUCAGAUGGAUGAACCAACAGACAGACAAUUCACUCAACUUUUCUCACCAACACUAUAGUUUAAUGUACAUUUUUAACAUUGAUAGAUGUAUCCUGGCUGGAUUAUUUUUAUUGUUGCUAUUAUCAUCAUCAUCAUCAUAAUCAUCAUCCUCAUCAUUAUUAUUGUUGUUGUUGUUGUUGUUAAGGUGAAAAGCAAAAUUGAUGGAGUGACUGGCAAUAUAUAUAUUGCAGUAUUUAGUUACAUCUCAUUACACUUUUAGUUCAACUGCUGCCAAGGUUGACUUUGUCUUUCAUCCUUCCGGGAUUGAUAAAAUAAAGUAUGAGUCAAAUGCUGGAGUUGAUCUAAUUGACUACACCUCUUCCUCAAAAACUUGUGGUCUUCUGCCUGUUAGAAAUUACUUCUAUUUACUACUGAGAUCUUUGGAACUAACGAAAGAAACAGCAUGUACAUUUUGCAAGUUAAAGUUCAUCAUCUUUUCUUUUUUACUUGGCUAAAUGAGUUUUGUGUGUGCAUGUGUGUGUGUGUGUGUGUGUGUGUGUGAGAGAGAGAGGGUAUAUGUUUAAUUUAAUGAUUGUACUAUUGUUUUCAUUAGCACACAACAUAAGAUUUGUUCUCAGUGUUGUCAUUUCUACCCAGUGUGAAAUUAUAAUGAAUUGAUUUUUGUUUUGUUUUUUAAUCUUUAUUUCUGUUUUAAAUUAAAAAGAAAAAAGAAUAUAAAUAUAUAUAAACAAACAACUCUAUGCAGGUGAUUGUGUGAAGAUAAAGUUUUUCUCCACCAAUGCCCUAAAUUUUCUGUUAAGUGAGAAAAAGAAACUAGUCUUAUUUGACAUGUCGUUGAAAUGGUUUAACAAAUAUUCUUAAAUGUUUAUCUAUCUUAUUCAUAUAUAUCAACAUCACUAUCAAAAUAGAUAUAUUUAACAAAUCCUCCUUCACACCCUUUCUAUACAUUAUUUUCACACAGCUGAUGAAAUAAAUUAAUCAGCGCAAAAUUAAUUUGAAUUUUCAUUUGCAGUUAGGUUUUACUGCCGUUUCUUAUCCCUCUUUUCAUUUUGUUGUUUUUUUUUAUUAGGGAGUGGCAGAAAUGAUAUAAUGUCAGAUGAAAUGCCUCCUACUAUUUAGUUUUGUCCCUUUGUGUUUUUAGCUUCAAAUCUUGUUCACUUCAUUUUUCACCAUUCCUCUGUGUGGUUGGGAGAGGAGGUGCCAACAAAAUAAGUGCCAGUCAUAACAAGGGUUGGGGUUCAAUUCAAUAGAAAUUACCUGUAUCUUUUACAAGUUAGUGGCUUUUUUGCCAAUAGGAAAAAUCAAUCGCAUACCUGACUAAAUAUCUUACAUUUUCAAUUCAAGUCCUGAUAGAACCAAUAUUUCAGCUCUUCGGGAUUAAUAAAGUUAACUUUCUCUUACAAAGAUCAUCCUUAUAUCUGAUCAGAGGUUUUUAUUUAUUUGUUUUUAACCUGUGUAGGCUGUUUUAACACAAAGCAAGAUUUGGACAUAUGAAUUUCUCAUCUUCAUAUCUCCUCCUGUUCUGAGGCUUAAUGCAAGUGUAAGAAACAUUUUUGUUGUUGUUAUUAUACUAAGUCUAGUUCUCCACAUUUUAGUAAUGUAAUAUAUAUUAUAAUUAGUUCCUUGCACUAAAUUGUUAAUUUUUAUCCACUCUGCUUUGUCUAUGUCUAUAUAUUUCUUUUCGUGUAUCAGUUCCUUUUAUUUCAGUCCCAGCACUAGAAUGAUUUUUUAAAAAUAGAAACAAAAACAGAAAAGAAUCCAUUUCUCAUUUGAUAAUAGGUAACUGAAUGUCUUUUUCCAAUGUUCCAUUUGGAGAAGAUUCCCUGAAAGAACACACUGAGUCAAAAGAAACUUUCUCUCUUUUACUCCACUUAAAACUUUCAAUUUAGAUUUCUUUCUCUCUCUCAUACACACACACACACACACACACGUUAGCUUCCCUUCCUGUUUACACACACACACACACACACACACACUUCUAUCAACCUAUGUUGGCAGUUGUCACAUUUCUCAUCACUGCAGUGGUUCAACUGAACGUUGAGUCUUUUUUCUAACAUAAGACAAAUUUCUUUUCAGAUAUAUAUUUUUUUCUUUCAACAUUUUCCAUCUCCCUCCCUUUUCUCUAUCAUUUUCCACUUUAAGGUAAAGAAGCAGAAAGAAAAGGACUCUUCUUUAUGAAAUAUUUUAUGGAUUAUUUAUUUUUUUAAGGAUCUCUGGGAGAACUCAAUAAACGAUCCAUUUGAUAAUCAA